rnacentral:rRNA from 1 species
GACGAACGCUGGCGGCGUGCUUAACACAUGCAAGUCGAACGGAAAGGCCCUGCUUUUGUGGGGUGCUCGAGUGGCGACCGGGUGAGUAACACGUGAGUAACCUGCCCUUGACUUUGGGAUAUCUUCAGGAAACUGGGGCUCAUACCGGCUAGGAGCUACUGCUGCAUGGUGGGGGUUGGAUAGUUUCGGCGGUUGGGGAUGGACUCGCGGCUUAUCAGCUUGUUGGUUGGGUAGUGGCUUACCAAGGCUUUGACGGGUAGCCGGGCUGAGAGGGUGACCGGCCACAUUGGGACUGAGAUACGGCCCAGACUCCUACGGGAGGCAGCAGUGGGGAAUAUUGCACAAUGGGCGGAAGCCUGAUGCAGCAACGCCGCGUGCGGGAUGAGGGCCUUCGGGUUGUAAACCGCUUUCGCCUGUGACGAAGCGUGAGUGACGGUAAUGGGUAAAGAAGCACCGGCUAACUACGUG